rnacentral:rRNA from 1 species
UCAAGCUAUGAAGAGCACAGGGUGAAUGCCUUGGCAUCAAGAACCGAAGAAGGACGUGUCAAGCUGCGAAAAGCUGCGGGGAGUUGCAAGCAAACAUUGAUCCGCAGAUAUCCGAAUGAGGGAACUCAGCAUCUGUAAUAGGAUGUUACCAUAUACUGAAUUCAUAGGUAUAUGGAGGGAACCCGGUGAACUGAAACAUCUAAGUAGCCGGAGGAAAGGAAAACAAAAGUGAUUCCCAAAGUAGCGGCGAGCGAAAUGGGAAGAGGCCAAACCGGAAGUCUUCGGACAUCCGGGGUUGCGGACCCAUAGAAUCGAUCUGACGAAUAUAGCUGAAUAGCAUUGGAAAGUGCAGCCAAAGAGGGUAAAAGCCCCGUAAGCGAAAUACGAGUCAGCGAGAUGGGCACCAGAGUACCACGGGACACGUGAAACCCCGUGGGAAGCCGGGAGGACCACCUUCCAAGCCUAAAUAUUCCUUGAUGACCGAUAGAGAAAUAGUACCGUGAGGGAAAGGUGAAAAGCACCCCGGGAGGGGAGUGAAAGAGAACCUGAAACCUUGUGCUUACAAGCAGUGGGAGCACUAUUAGAAAGUGUGACCACGUACUUUUUGUAGAACGGGCCAGCGAGUUACGGUAUGCAGCAAGGUUAAGUGACUGGAGUCACGGAGCCGAAGGGAGACCGAGUCUUAAUAGGGCGAAUAAGUUGCAUGCUGUAGACCCGAAACCGGGUGACCUACCCAUGAGCAGGUUGAAGCGGUGGUAAAACACCGUGGAGGACCGAACCACACGUAUGUUGAAAAAUGCGGGGAUGACUUGUGGGUAGCGGAGAAAUUCCAAUCGAGCUCGGAGAUAGCUGGUUCUCCUCGAAAUAGCUUUAGGGCUAGCCUCGAGUGAAGAUAUAUGGGGGUAGAGCACUGAAUGGACUAGGGGGCUUCACGGCUUACCGAAUCUUAUCAAACUCCGAAUACCAUAUAUUACCUACUCGGGAGUCAGACAGUGUGAGAUAAGUUUCAUUGUCAAAAGGGAAAGAGCCCAGAUCAUCAACUAAGGUCCCAAAGUGUAAGUUAAGUGGAAAAGGAUGUGGAAUUGCAGAGACAACUAGGAUGUUGGCUCAGAAGCAGCCACUCAUUUAAAGAGUGCGUAACAGCUCACUAGUCGAGUGAUUGUGCGCCGAAAAUGUCCGGGGCUAAAACUUACCACCGAAGUUAUGGGUGCAUCGUAAGAUGCGCGGUAGAGGAGCAUCGUAUUAGGAUUGAAGCCAUACCGGGAGGAGUGGUGGACUUAAUACGAGAGAGAAUGCUGGCAUAAGUAGCGAGAGUGAGGUGAGAAUCCUCACCGUCGAAAGCCUAAGGUUUCCUGGGGAAGGUUCGUCCGCCCAGGGUAAGUCGGGACCUAAGCCGAGGACAGUAUCGUCGUAGGCGAUGGACAACAGGUUGAUAUUCCUGUACUACCGACCAUUCGUUUGACUGACGCAGUGACACAGGAGGAUAGCAGGAGCGGGCUGAUGGUAGAGCCCGUCUAAGCACUGAGGGUGGAAAUUAGUGAAGUACGGUUUCCGCGAAGCCUGAGGUGUGAUGGGGACAGAAAAUAAGUAUGGAAGUCUGUGAAUCCACACUGGCAAGAAAAGCUGCUAAGGAGAAUGGUAGGUACCCGUACCGCAAACCGACACAGGUAGGCGAGGAGAGAAUCCUAAGACGAGCGGGAGAAGCAUUGUUAAGGAACUCGGCAAAAUGACUCCGUAACUUCGGGAUAAGGAGUGCCUAGUAAAAUAGGUCGCAGUGAAUAGGCCCAAGCGACUGUUUAGCAAAAACACAGGUCUGUGCGAAAUCGAGAGAUGAAGUAUACGGGCUGACGCCUGCCCAGUGCUGGAAGGUUAAGGGGAACUGUUAGCGUAAGGCGAAGCAGGGAACUUAAGCCCCAGUGAACGGCGGCCGUAACUAUAACGGUCCUAAGGUAGCGAAAUUCCUUGUCGGGUAAGUUCCGACCCGCACGAAUGGCGUAACGACUUGGGCACUGUCUCAACAAUGUACCCGGCGAAAUUGUAGUAUGAGUGAAGAUGCUCAUUACCCGCGAUAGGACGGAAAGACCCCGUAGAGCUUUACUGCAACUUGGCAUUGGAUUUUGGUAUUGGAUGUACAGGAUAGGUGGGAGACUGAGAAGCGUUGACGCCAGUUGACGCAGAGUCACUGUUGGGAUACCACCCUUCCAAUACUAGGGUUCUAACCCGAGGCCGUGAACCGGCUCGGGGACAGUACCAGGUGGGCAGUUUGACUGGGGCGGUCGCCUCCGAAAGAGUA